AUUCCGGUAUAUUUAUUAUGACAGUGAAAGGAAACUAGUUAAAAUAACUGAUAAAGUGAUGAUUGAUUGAGGCACAUCGACAGAACCUUCAAUUACAAUGAGUUAUCCCACUGAAGCUAAGCAGCUUGUCGUGGAUGAAGCAGCAGCUGUUGGCAUACUCCAACAUCUAGACAAGAAUGAGCUACAAAAUCUACUGGAUGACAGCGAUAAGCUGGAUAGCUUGAUUCAAGAUUUACAACAGGUGAAAAAUAUCCAGACAGACAGAGAAAUGAUGCUUGCACGAAACAAAAGCAUGGCAGAUUUCAACUUGUCGCUCCAGAACCGCUUGGAAAACUUGAAGAGCGAGGUAGCCAGAGGGUAUGAGGAUGCUAAUAAGCUGAAAAUAGAUCUGGCCCAGGAUAAGUCUAAAAUAGGUAAACAGUGCUUGAAAUUCUCACCCCAAUCGGCUCCUGCCGGACACAGCUCUAGCAUUGUUACAGACAGCUGCUGCUUCUUCAGAGGAAAGUUCUGAGCAAUUCGCAGAACAAUUUUGUGAUAACAAAAUCAGUGUUGAUUCCUUCUUGGAAAAUUAUUUGCCUGUAAGAACUGUUGCUCAUCUACGACAAGUGAAAGUGAAGAAAAUGAGAGAAUUAAUGAACUCUGGACUCUCAAGGACAGUUGCACCAAACCCCCCCUCCACCAACAGUUACUCUUGUCCUACAGGCUUGAGUAACCUCCCCUACCCUACUGGUAAUUUCUCAAUGCCGCAACCAGCAAUGUAUCCAAGAUAAUACAAGUAGUUAUAAGGUGAAUUAAUAUUGUUAUCUUUUUUGUAAGGAAAGAAUACUUGUCAUUUAUUUGUAAUUCAUUUAUUUUUCCAUGCUUUUUGCAAGUGUAGUCCAACACAUCUGAAAUGCUUUUCCAUAUUUUUACAUAAGAUCAUAUGAAGUGCUGAUAGACCAAUGCAAAAUGAUGCUUUUAUUGAUUUUGUUGUUGUUGUGUGCUGAUUUACAAGUAGUUGGGCAUUUAUUAAAUAGAUAUGUACACAUUAAUGGCAAAGUGCACUUGUAAAAAGAGGUAUAGCGCCUUUUCCCAAUAUUUCACCUAUGCCUGUGUUUGGAUGGAAAGUAUCUGUUACUUAAAAUAGCUUCAGGUACCUAGCUGUCACAAUAUAAUUUUCGAAACCUAGAUACUGAUUUUAUAAUGGUGUCUGUAACAACUGAUUUUGCAUAAACUGUGUAAAAUGUCAGUUGAUAUUCUGAACCAUGAUAAGUUCAAGCAAAACACAACAUUUGAAUCUAAGUGUAAAUAGAGUACAUGUAUAGUGUUAUUGAAGAGAUCUGUUUAUAUUGGGUGUGCUCAUACUCAGACUGAAUUAAGCAAAAUAAUAUUUUUUUAAAAAUUCCAGAAGAUUAGAUACGUGUAUGGUAACUUAAACUCUCUAUUCUUUUAAUAUUUAAAUUAAGUAAAAAAUAAUAUUUACUACUGGUGCUUGGUGAAAUCGAUCCAGCGAUUGCAUAAUCAACAAGACCUACACUUUUCCUCCAGGCCACAUAUGAUAUCUAACACUUUCAUUUGAUGUCUUUUCAAUAUUUAUUGCUGUAUAUAUGAUAGUUAUAGAAAAGACCCUGAUUGAAAUACAUGUAUUUGUCUAAUUUUCAGUACAAAGAGUUUAAGACCAUGUUAAACCAAAACUAAUUCAAUAUAAACAUGUACUAUAAUACUAGUAGAACAUAAUUUUAAUCAGAUUUCUUUGGUUAAGAGUGGUUCAAAUAGUCAAAUAUCCAAUUUUUAAUAGUAUAAUAACUAUUUUCGUUAUACCGGUAGUACUAACAAAAAAUGAAUAUUUUAAUGAUGUCGUGUAAGAUUAUUUAGACUCUUUCAGCAUGGUAAUUAUAUAUCGUGUUAUUUGCAUUUCUUUGAAUAUAUUUUAACUAAAUAUUGUAUAAUAUUUAAAAUGUCUGAUGUUUGCAGAAGUGUUAUAUUUUAGGCGAAAUGGUAUAUUUAGUGCGCUAUACCUCUUUAGUUGAAACUGGUGUUUUUUAUGACACAUAAAGUGACCCCAUUCGUUCCAUGAACUUUUGCUUGAUUGGGAGAAUCCCUUGGUAAUCGUUUUGAAAAUCUCUUGUCUUGUAUUUGGUCUGUGUUUACAUGUAUGUUGCAUUGAGGAGAACCCUUGAAUAAGAUCUAAGUUGUUAAUGGUUUAAUUUUUGAAGAAUUAACGUAAUGAACAAUUUGCCUAACUUGAAGCUUAUUUAACUUGGUUAAGCUUGGAACGUAUGUUUUAAUAUGCAUUACCCAGCAAUAUGUUAUUGUUGGAAUGCAUGUAUGUAGAAUAUAAUGGAUUUAAUACAAGGACUACAAAUAAAAGGUUUUCAAAAGU
rnacentral:misc_RNA from 1 species